rnacentral:rRNA from 1 species
GAGGUUCGAAGGCGAUCAGAUACCGCCCUAGUUCUAACCAUAAACGAUGCCAGCCAGCGAUCCGGCUGUGUUCCUCAAAUGACACGCCGGGCAGCUUCCGGGAAACCAAAGCUUUUGGGUUCCGGGGGAAGUAUGGUUGCAAAGCUUAAACUUAAAGGAAUUGACGGAAGGGCACCACAAGCCAUGGAGCAUGCGGUUCAAUUUGACUCAACACGGGAAAACUUACCUGGCCCGGACACAGGAAGGAUUGACAGAUUAAGAGCUCUUUCUUGAUUCUGUGAGUGGUGGUGCAUGGCCGUUCUUAGUUGGUGGAGUGAUUUGUCUGCUUAAUUGCGUUAACGAACGAGACUCUAGCCUACUAAAUAGACGUUCCGAUCCUCUUAGUCGGACGCUCUUCUUAGGGGGACAGGCGGCGACUAGCCGCACGAGACAGAGCAAUAACAGGUCUGUGAUGCCCUCAGAUGUCCGGGGCCACACGCGCGCUACAUUGAAGGAAUCAGCGUGUGCUUUCCCUGUCCGACAGGACUGGGUAACCCGUUGAACCUCCUUCGUGCUGGGGAUAGGGAUUUGCAAUUGUCUCCCUUGAACGAGGAAUGCCUAGUAAGCACGAGUCAUAAAUUCGUGUUGAUUAGGUCCCUGCCCUUUGUACACACCGCCCGUCGCUAUAAGCGAUUGAAUGGUUUAGUGAGGUCUUCGGACUGGCGCUCGAAUUGGCCUUCCGGUCGAGUCGACGUGCCGGAAAGAUGACCAAACUUGAUCAUUUAGAGCAUAUAAAAGUCGU